rnacentral:rRNA from 1 species
UACGGAGGGUGCGAGCGUUGUCCGGAAUCACUGGGCGUAAAGGGCGCGUAGGCGGCUCGGUAAGUCGGGGGUGAAAUCCUGCGGCUUAACCGCAGGGCUGCCUUCUAAACUGUCGAGCUCGAGCACGGUAGAGGCAGAUGGAGUUCCCGGUGUAGCGGUGGAAUGCGUAGAGAUCGGGAAGAACAUCAGUGGCGAAGGCGGUCUGCUGGGCCGUUGCUGACGCUGAGGCGCGACAGCGUGGGGAGCAAACAGG